AUGCAGCUUUCUCUCAGAGCUCAGUCUUCUCCAUACAGAAGGGUCAGGCUCGGGCAGCCUCUGCGUCACAUCCUUAAAGCCGCAGGAUCAGGGAGCAAGGCGCCCUGCCUGACCAGGUGAAGUCUUACGCAUUCUGAGAAAGGAUGCUCCGCUCUCGCUGGCCUGAGCCGUGUGCGCAUGCUUGGAGCAACCGCUACCCCUGCAGGUGGAGGGACGGGAGACGCAAGACCGCAGGGUAGAAAGUCCCCGGAUUCCUCUAGAGCCGAUUCUGUUCUUCAGUGGCUGCCAGCACAGAUGCUCCCUUACUGAGGAUGGGGCCACCCCAGUAGGCUCAUCGGAAGUCUGACGUGCGUUGAGUGCACCUGGCCAACGGAACCUCUGCCAGCCGCUCGGCACCUAGCCGAGUGUGGCUUAUCUGCCUGUGCACUGUGCGGCUGCCACCCAGCAACCCCAGUGAGGACUCACCAACCCAGGAAAGAUCAAAGUUGGAGAUUCAAGGAGCAGUUUCCACCAGACGUGAACCUCUUCUGUACCAUCGUGGAGGCCAAAAGUCUGCAAUGGACCGUUACAAACUGGGGCCGUUGCAUAGAAUGGCACACUCCUGCCCCACCCCCACUACGUCCAUGGCUUUGAAGAAGGGGAGUUAUUCUCAAUGGGAAUUAUCCACUAUAACACAAGCUCUACUGACUUAAUUAAAUUUAUUUAAAUAAUUUGAAAGCAUAGGAGCUGGGACCAGGCCAGGUCGCCCGCAUGACUGGCACAGACUCAAAUCCUCUCUGCCUCUGAGAGUGAGCUUUGGGAGCAGAGCUGGGCCUUACACCCAGAACCCUGAAAGAUUCGAUUCUCCAAACUGUUGGCGAGUGGGUCUUCCUUUAUCAUGAUGGACUUGCCUGGAAUUCCUGGACUCCUGUGUCUCCUAGGGCUUUCCUGGAAGAUAGCCCAUCAAACAGACAGUAGAAGGAGUUUGUGAAUGUUCCCUGUGUGAACAGGAAAGGCCCAUUAAGAGGCAGAACGACUUGCAGUCCAGCUGGGAGAUGGCCCAUAAACAGUGAAAGCGACCAAGGGACAAGGAUGAGGUGAACAGUAUCGGGAAACUUCUGAAAGUUCAUGGAAAAACGCAAUUGAAAGAACAUGCCCACCAUCAAUGGAGCGAAGAGACUGACUAGAGUGGGGAAAAUAUUUGCGAGCUACCUAUCUGACAGAGGAUUAACAUCCAGAAUUCAUCAGCAACUUACGCAAAAAACCACCCAUCCAGUUAAGAAAUGAACAAAGGACCUCAUCAGAUAUUUCUCAAAAGAAGAAAUACAAAUGGGCAACAUAUAUAUGAAAAAAUGCUCCACAUCACUAGACAUCAGGGAAAAGCCAAUGAACACCACAGUGCCGUAUUACGUCACUCCUGUCAGAAUGUCUGAAGGUCCAAAGACAGAGAGUACAAGUCCUGGCAAGCAUGUGGAGAAAGGGGAACACUGAUAGCCUGUUAAUGAGAAUGUAAAUUAGUGCAGCUACUGUGGAAAACAGGAGGGAGAUGCUUUUAAAAAUUAGAAACAGACCAGCCACGUGAUCCAGCAGUCCCACUACUGGGUAAUCCCAGAAGAUACGAACACAGUGCAUCCGAGAGAUCCCUGCACCACAUCCCAGAGCCGCUCACAGUAACCAAAAUAGGAAGACAACCAGAGAGUCCAUCAUUAGAUGAGUGGAUAAAGGCGAUUUGGUAUACACACAAUGGAAUAUGAUUCAGCUAUGAAAAACAGUGCAGCUCUACCAUUGAUGCUCAUAAAAUGAAAUUGCCUUGAAAAAGCAAAGGACUGAAUGGAAGCAAAUGGAAAACAUCAGGUUGAGUGAAACAAUCCAGACCCAAAAGGACAAAUACUCCACUUUCUCCCUUAUAUACGGGCGCUAACAUUUAUGAAUACGUAAAUAAAAAUGGAAGAAGACAAAGAAAUGCCUGUGUGUAUCAGUACUGCUGCAAAUGCAGUUUUGUCAAUCUUUGUUUUAGUGCUCUGUCAAACCAAUCAUUAAGGACUUUAUACUACUAUAGUUUCAAUGAUCUGUGAUUACUUUAAGAUUUACCAUAUAUGGGGAAAACAGUCAUCUUUCCAUUCGGUUACUUUUAUAGUCCUUGCCUAUAUUCCUGCUGUACUAGGGUCUUUUUGCUUGUUACACUUUUUAUUUGGUAGAGCAUUAAUUCCUUGAUUGUAAUGUAAGUUAAAAAUCUGUUAUCUCAAAAACUGAAAAAGGGGAGAGAGAAAAGGGGAGGAAGAGGGGAUGGAGAGAGAGAGGAAGGAAGUAUCGGUACAUUAGAAUUAUUUCUACGAACUACGCUGACGCUGUUAAGUAAAUCAACUAAAUAAAAAGUACUGAAACUUAUUAGAAUAAAUCCAUCAAAAAAGGAUACUGACCUUUUUCUACAAACUCUUUGAAGAAGCCUUACACAAUGCAACUCUGCAAAUGGGUAAACCACAAAGCAUACAAUUAAACACCAGUGAUGACACCAGCAACCCUAAGACCUACAGCAUCCCCUACCAGGGGUGGGAAACCUUUUUUUCUGCCAAGGACCAUUUGGUUAUCUCUAACAUCACUUGCCGGUCACACAGAAUCAUCGAGUUCUAAAUUAGCUUGCAGGAGCCAUUGACUUUUGAGUCCCAGCUGCGGCGGCCUUGGGAGAGCCAGAACAGAUGAUUUCACGGCCUUGUACGGUCUGGGGCUGGACCGACUUUUCCCACCCCUGCAACCUUGGGAAGUUAGCUGUGUUCCCUCUCACCGUGCCCUGUCCAAUGCCCACCAAAAAACCACUUAGAUCCCACCCUGGCUUUCUGUUCUCAAUCCUUUGCUUUUUGAAGGCAAUUGGAUUUCACGAGUGUAACUCCUUCAACAAUAUGAGGGUACUUCAAAGAGCUCACGGAUAAAUGGAAUUAAAAUUAAUACACAUGUAUCAAGUGUUUCACAAUAAGGAAGCUGAUAGCUGUUUGGUGAAGCAAUGGACAUGUGCAAACAGCUUUGACUAUUACAUGCAAUAGUUAGGGGAUUAUUUGCUGACAUAUAUGCGAUUAUACACUUGGAGUCAGAAAACUCCAUCAAAACCCAUUCCUGUGUUCAAAACAUGAAAAUUCCAGCUUUAAUUUGGGUAGAGACUGGUUCUCCAAUUUAGGAACAUUCUAGCACCUCAAACACUUCCUCUCCCAUUUUUGAACAUGUAUCAACCUAGUGGUUGGAGAGACAGAAUAUAUGAGAAAACUCAGUAGCCACAUUUUCCUUCUAGAUUUGACCUGAACUGUGAAUUUACCUUGGACUAUGUCUUAAUAGGCCAGUGUAGUCUUUUCUCUCUCAUUUCCCCAAUGAGGAGUCAUGUCCUUGUGAAGGGUAGUCUAGAAGUUCAGAACAGAGUCUCCACGUGAGCUCCUUCAAGACCCUCGCAAAGCUGAGCGGCUCACUGAACUGGAAUUUUGUCACAAGUGAUUUAACCUUGUUAAACAUCGCUCUCUUCACCUGUAACAGGAGCAGCAAAACACUACCUACCUUACGGAGCUGUGAAGAUGAAAUGAAAAAAGAAAUGCCUAUAAUAAAAAUAAAACAUCUCCAUUACACUUGGUCGUAAGCUGGCAGCUGGUAAACAUCCAGCAGAUGCUAAUUACUAUAAUUAUUGUGUCAGCACAGAUUCUCACACAGUAGUAAAAGCUGGUGAAAAAAUUGUCCUUAAAGAUCACAGACAAGAAAGUGACUAGGUCUCUCGAUGACCUUGCGUGUAUACCUAUGUGUGAGUUCCAGAACGUGCAAAACGACAGCCAAACACUCCCAAUGAGUGUCCACCCUCUCAACCAGCAACACUUCCCGGGACUGUGAGUGUGUUCCAAUGCAGUAGGAAGCAGGUGUUUGAUACGCCCAACAAUCAACAUAUCUAUAGUUGUUUGUCGUGACAUACUGCAGUUGAAACAAAGAACUAGCAGUGGAACUCUAUGUACUUGAGAUUCUAUGAUAGUUCUUAGAAUCUACUGCAUCUGAAAGCACAAAUCCAUCCACUUUGUAAACCUAACACACGUGUAUCCGUAACUACAGAUAGACACUUUCCUUAUAACUUUGUUCACAUUCUACUAUUUCCCUCAGCAUAGAGCUCACCCGGUGGUGAAGGGACCCAACUAUUGACUUGACAAAGAGCAUUAAGGCAAGAAAAAAAGAACUAAAAAUAUUCAACUACGUCAUCCGCCACAGUGCCUUUCUUGUGGGAUCACAGUCCCUCUCCUAUGGUGGGGUCCAGGAAGUCUCCACAUUGAGCCAUUCUGACCACACAUUCCCCACUUGGAUGACAGACGCAUCUGUGACCAGCACCUGCACACUCUAACAUCUACCCUAGAAUUCCCCUAAGAUGUGUAAGUCGAGUCUAAAUCAAAUGAUAGAAUUACAAAUGAGCCAUCUAUUUACAUAAGCCAGAUCAUCACACCUUUGUAAGUAUAUGUUUAGAAAUAUGUUUACAGCUAUAUAAGGCCUUUUUCCCCCUCUGAGUUAUAGGUAGCAUGAUAUAUGGGCGUGACCUAAAAGCUCUUAGUGCGACUCCUACUUGUGUUUCUGGGAGUAGGAUGAGCCUGUGGAGGCCCAGGUCUUCUCCUGCAACAGGGCAAUGGGUACCAAGUUAUGGCUGCCUAGGAUAUCGCAGCCAAGCUUGGCCAAGCUACCAAGGCAACUGUGGAUUCAGUAACAUUGGACAUCAUGGGAAUGUCUGAUACUUUCCUCACAUUAGCACUGUUUCUUUCUUGAAUGUGAUCUAUAGUACAUUUCUUUAAAAGCAACUUCUUUAAAAAAAAGAGGUUUCAAGGUUUCUGUUGCAUUUAUGUGAACUACGUUGAGUCCCAGUGCUAGAAGGUGCCAGGGGGCUUUUGUGAAUGCCAGGCACGCCUAGGUGGGUGCAUUGGUUGCCUCUUCCACACCCCACACUGCUCUGUGAGGCUGGAAGACUUCUCACUACAAAAGACGCUAAAGAUUCAGAGUGAAGUCACCUCCUGAGGUCACCUGGCACUCAGUGGCACAGCAGAAUCCGAAACUGUGUGAUGGAUGAGCUGGGAUUUCCUGAGCGCACUUCCCGGAGGUCUCUGCUGGGAUUUCAGGAAUAUUCUCUGUAGGAAGAUGUAGCGUAUGAAAAAUCGGGCUGUUUGAGGAUAAUGGUUAUCAUAAUUUGUAAGGCAGAGUGAAGCGAUGCUUUUCUGACUGAAAAAUGAAGGCGAUACCUCAACAUUCAGGCUCACGCUGGGCAGAAUUCACGACAGAACUUCAGUUCUUUAUAUUCAGGGGUUUGGUUCUGCAAUCAGUCACUGGAGUUAGCACACAAAUAAGGAAGAGGGAAGUAGAUGGUAUGAUGCAAACCAUAAGUCAUAUAGAUAUGUUUUUUUAAGAAAACUACAGUGUCUUAUGAUUUUUCUUCUUUCCUUUUUCUACCCGUGGGAGUCAUUUUGGUCACUGAAGAUGUGCUUUUCACCAAGAAGACAUCCUUCUCCUUGGCUUACCCUCUUUUGCAAAUGCACGUAAACACACACACAUUCUUGGACCUCACUUUUCAGAGAGCCUCAAAGCCACCUGGAGAGAAGCAGCGCAGGCAGCCAAUCAAUGGGCAUAAUGAGAGGGACAGAGAGGGCAGGAGGCUGCCCACCACAGACCUGAGGGCACUGCUGCUGGACAAACCCGACAGGUUUCCAAGACACUAAUGGAGUGUAUGAAAAAGUCAUACCCAGUCUGAGUGAGAUAUUUUAAAAUGGACCUUUACGUAACACAUCAUCUUCCUUCUGGUCAGAAAGCACACAUUUGUUUGGAUCGCGAGAUGAGGAAGUUGUCUUGGAUGACCUGGGCCUAAGCUAAAUCCCAUGAGUGCUUUCCAGGAGAGGACCAGAGCCCAGAGCUGGGAGAGGGAGGAGCAGCAAGAAGGAGGUGACCUGCUCUUGCUGCUUUGCAAGAGGGAAGAACCAGAUCAGAGAAGGAACACAGGCAACCUCUACCAGAUGGAGCGCCCUCAGCCGACAGCCACAGAAAGCUGAGUUCUGGCCAGCCGCCUAAGCCGAUGAGCCCACAGCAGCCCCUGUCUGAGGCUUCCCCGAAAUGAGUUCUCUCCCAGAGUGUCCAGUGAGGAGGGCAGCCCAGUCCACACUUGGACCCCAGCCCUGUCCCACUGGUCCUGGCCUUCCCAUCCACACAACGGUGAGCUGAGAAACCGACUGCAUCAGUCAGAGCAACAACAGAAAAUCACACUCCUUCCACAGGCUCUGUGCUACUCCAAGCUGUACCAGCAGUGGCCAGGGCCGUCUUCCGGCAUCUCCACAGGCAGAGAUGUGCACCUGUCGGCUUUGGGAGAACGCGCACCCGGAAGCCUGUUUCUGCUUGUCUCACAACAUGCAUCUUUACAUUGGUGGGUAUUUGAUUCCACUGAUUGUCUGUUCCUGGCUUUUGCCCACAUUUCUACAGGGUUGUUGGUCUUUUUUUUCUAAUAGAAUCCUAAGGGCUGUUUGUACAUUGAGGAGGUGAGAACUUUGUGUGUGAGAACUGCAACUUAAGUUACCAAUUGGUUCAUUUGUAAGUAAAUUGAAGGGUGCACACUGGCCUCCUUUUCAUUGUUUUCUUUGAUUCCCAUGAAUCUUUCAUUAGAUGGUGGUAGGUCUCUGGAUAGCAUGAGCUAAGAUAACACCACGGGAACACAUUUUUGCAGAAAGAAAUAAACAAAAAGCAAAGACAGAGGAACGGUUGACAAAGAUCUUUCUGCCUUCACCUUCUCUCCUCCAGUCUGAAUUACUCUGCUCAUGGCUCAUUUCUAAUGCUGCGACCCGAGGUCCAGGAGUAGCUCCCAAUGCUACAGUGGCCACUGCCCGGGGGAAAAAGACAGCGCAUUAUAAUACCACGUUUGCAGCAACGAGAGCGUUUUGUCACACAUCCUUCAAUUAAACGUGCAUGCUUCCACGUACAGCUGUCUGCGACACACCGCACGAACACUGGGCGCUUCGUGUCAGCAGAGGCGUGGGUAUCAUUAUUCCCAGGGAAAUGCUGACAGGCCCUUCUCUCCACUGACACCAGCCAGCUCAGGUUAUAAUUACCCAGGAUGCAUCACUGCUUUCCCCUGCUAUCCAUGCAGCCAGAGCUCUCGCUUAGGAGGCAGUGCUGUGUUUAUAGGCAAAGAGUUGCUCCUUUUUAAUUCAAACCAGAUUUGCUGGGAGCUGGGAGGGGCAGGGGGACUAGCGAAGAAAAACUGUUAUAAUUAGAAGAUCGCAAGGAGAAACAAUAAACAUUUAAAACGAUCAGGAGGUGAGCAGCAUCCAGCCCGAAACCCAAGGCCAGCGGUGAAGGCAGGCGUUGCUGACAAAGAUAUCAGACUAGGUUCAUUAACUGCCCUUACUGCUUUCAGAAUAUUUUAAAUGCGGCAAUUUACAUUAAAAUGGAUUUAGUGGCGCCAUCUUCUCAUUACUGUCAGUUUACAUUUGGGUUCAUAAAGUAUAAUUGUAAAUAAAAUAUGCUUUUCAUUACAAUGUCUAUUUAGUAGAAGAUGGUAGGAAAUUAGAAGCAUAAUCGGGAUUUAAAUUAUUAAUUCGGUGAUAUU